UAGGAGGUAGGAGGUAAAUAACUUCCAGUUCCAAGGUACUGUGAAAUGGCUCAUGAAGGAAUUCAAAGUUCUACCGAAAAUCAAUAAAGGCUUUCGAACAGAAUUUGGUAAUGGAAAAGUCAGUGAAAAAAUUGAAGUACCCGUUAGGAGGACACUGGAGAAUUUCAAGAAAAUGAAGCAGAAAACCAUAACACUUGGCCCCAUGGAAAGUGAAAAGCUACCAGCCAUAUUCUCCGUCCUGUAAUCUCUCAGUUUCAUGAGCCUCGACUUUACUUCCCUGUGUAUAUCUGCACUCGAAGACUCUGCCUAUGACCUUUUCAGCCUCUGGAUCCCAAAAAAGAUGUUCUACCUAUCAGAUACGUGUUGAAGAGUUUCCUUGGUCCAGUGAGCUGUGACUUGUGAGAAUGGAGAUCACAAUGUAUAUUAUUCCCUGUGCCUACCCUUUUAUCCUAGAGUAUCAA
rnacentral:lncRNA from 1 species